rnacentral:rRNA from 1 species
GUGAGGAAUAUUGGUCAAUGGACGAGAGUCUGAACCAGCCAAGUAGCGUGAAGGAUGACUGCCCUAUGGGUUGUAAACUUCUUUUAUAAGGGAAUAAAGUGAGGGACGUGUCCCUUUUUGUAUGUACCUUAUGAAUAAGGAUCGGCUAACUCCGUGCCAGCAGCCGCGGUAAUACGGAGGAUCCGAGCGUUAUCCGGAUUUAUUGGGUUUAAAGGGAGCGUAGGUUGACAUAUAAGUCAGCUGUGAAAGUUUACGGCUCAACCGUGAAAUUGCAGUUGAUACUGUAUGUCUUGAGUGUACAAGAGGUGGGCGGAAUUCGUGGUGUAGCGGUGAAAUGCUUAGAUAUCACGAAGAACUCCAAUUGCGAAGGCAGCUCACUGGGGUACAACUGACACUGAGGCUCGAAAGUGUGGGUAUCAAACAGGAUUAGAAACCCUAGUAGUCC